GAUGAACGCUGGCGGCGUGCUUAACACAUGCAAGUCGAACGGAAAGGCCGAAGCUUGCUUCGGUACUCGAGUGGCGAACGGGUGAGUAACACGUGGGUGAUCUGCCCUGUACUUCGGGAUAAGCUUGGGAAACUGGGUCUAAUACCGGAUAUGACGAUCUCUUGGAUGGGGUUGUGGAAAGCUUUUGCGGUAUGGGAUGAGCUCGCGGCCUAUCAGCUUGUUGGUGGGGUAAUGGCCUACCAAGGCGUCGACGGGUAGCCGGCCUGAGAGGGUGUACGGCCACAUUGGGACUGAGAUACGGCCCAGACUCCUACGGGAGGCAGCAGUGGGGAAUAUUGCACAAUGGGCGCAAGCCUGAGGCAGCGACGCCGCGUGGGGGAUGACGGCCUUCGGGUUGUAAACUCCUUUCGCAAUCGACGAAGCCUUUUGGUGACGGUAGGUUGAGAAGAAGCACCGGCUAACUACGUG
rnacentral:rRNA from 1 species